UCUUUUCUCACUCUAUAAAGCGAUCAAAUGAUUCCUAUUUCUAGAUUCAUAAAAGAAAAAAUAUGGUUAAGGUUUAUAUGUAUAUUUAUGCUAUGAUUAUGUUUUUUUCCGUAUUCAUUACUAUAACUAGUGGGAUACCCUGCGAAAUUAAUUCUGAUUGUCGAGAUCAUGUGUGUAGUGAACCUGACAUUCCAGUAUGUGGGUUUCUGUCUCCGGUUUCACCCGGAAUAGGGACUUGUGGAUGUUACAAGUAUAGCACAUUGGAAAUUAUAUAUCCGGAAUAGGGACUUGAGGAUGUUUCCAGUAAAGCACAUUGGAAAUUAUAUAUUAACAAUGGCUUUUGAAUGUGUGAACAAGCCGUAAAAUUAAUUAUUAAAAAUAAUUAUAUUGAUGUUUUUAUGAUUUAUUAGUAUAAUAACUGUGCCUCUAGGCAAAUAUUGUGUGUAGCAUGAAAUUAGUCUUGUUAUAUUAUUGGUUGGUAUAAAGAUUGUUGCCUCGUGUCUAAUAGUUAUAAUUGUAAUAUUUAUUAUUGACAAUUUAUUUAUAUGAAUAAUACCGAACUUGUUGGGUGAUA